rnacentral:rRNA from 1 species
AUGGCCUCCGCAAAGCAGCAGCCGCCGCUAUACAUUGUCGUCGCCGACGACCGCCAGAGGACCAGCUUCCCUUGCACGCGCCCCAUCCCGCAGAGCGCGCUCCAGAUCAUGGGCUGCAAGCCAGCCACACCUUCAAGAAACUAUUGCCAAUGUACUAAGUCUUAUUCAGAGAUUGUCAAUAUUGUUGGGCGUCUCCUGCUCUCCCUCUUUUAUAUUUGGUUGUUUGGUCUCACACUGAAGCUGCUAGAUGUAAUGUGGACUCAGGGCCAGAACAGAGAAGAAGCAGAGCAGGUAGACUCGGGUGUGUGUUCAAGGCAACAAAUGCCCUUUUUUCCACUGAACCACCAACACAUGCUAGCUCUACUCUUUUGCUGUUCACUUACACAAAAAAAGACCACACUGUAUCCAUACCCGUGCACGCACACAGCCCACACUGUACUACACUAUUUGGGUACACACUCAGUACAUAUCUUCAGCUUCUAG